UCUCUCACUCACUCUUGCUGUGUUGCUGUCUUGCUUGAUCCUUCUUUGUGAUUCGUUUGUGUUUUAGCUUUUAUUUUCGGAACUUUAUUAACUACAAACUUGGCUAUUCAAACGGACUCUGAUUGAUUGCAAUAACGACAUACUCAGCCUGGGAUUUACUGUUUUUGUGUGGCUCGGCCAAGGCUCGGCUGGUGGUUCUAUGGUGUUAGAAAAUGAGCAACUUAAUUAUACACAACAAUGGGCAGCACCUCGAUCGGUUACAGCUCAUGAUCUUAUAUGCACAACAUGUUGGACCCAAGCCCAAGAUACAACACAAAUGCAUCUACUUCAAAUCUUAGCAGAAAAUGUGUGCUUUGCAGUAGAACACUAGAGCCUAGAACACGUUCACAUCAGCUCAUGUCCCUGAGAACUAACACUCAACAUCAUAUUAACAUCAGGAACAUAAUUGUGGAACGACUAACUCCAUUAGAGGUUACUGCAAAUGACUACAUCUGUGGGGCUUGUCACUCAUUAUUGCAAAGAGAUACCACACCUACUUCACAAGACUCUCCAGAUAUGCCAACCGGUGCCCUGGUAGGUCACCAACAAGUUUGUGUUGGAUGUGGUUGUUCAUUAUUGCGAACUUGAAGUCAUUGUUUGGAUACAGAGAAUAAUCAAGAUAUAUUAAACAUUGUUCGAAAUUGGAUUCAACCCAGAGAGAUUCGUCCUUCAGAUCUUCUUUGCCAUAGAUACUAUCAGAGAGCACGAAUUACUACAGUUGGUGCUUAUUUAAUGAAGCUGAGGACCGGUGAUUCAGAUGACAGAAUAGCUACAUUACUUGGCAUUUCAAGGAGUACUCUUACAAAAUAUGUAAUGAAAGCACGCAGUAUGAUGGAGGAACAUUUCGUACCAGCAC